UCAGUGAACUUCCUCGUUGCCCUGGUUAUGGAGACUCAGACGCACGGUAACUUCAGCAGAGCAGAGCUCUGACGUUGCAGACUUACAAAGGACAGACGAGGUCCGUUGCAACAAGACUGGGACUGAAAGAUGUCGACAAAACAAGAUCUCCACUCACAUCACCCGUUAAUUGGGGGCAACUGGAGAGUAGGCUGGCUUUUAGAGUCAUUGCUGGUUCAAAUUCCCCAGUCUCUUUCCAGGUUAUCUGCCUGGACCUUACACUCUGUCCCCAAUUCUGACCAUCAGUGUUCUGGAUCACCAUGUUUCAACGUGGGCCCUGACUGCUCAGAACACUACUGGGCUGAACAUCCUGAAAUAAUAUGUCACUUAUCCUUCUACUAACACCAAACAUGCACCUGAGUAUUCAUAUAUUCCAUAACAUUGCUUGGAUACUGCAUACCACUUUGUCUCCAAAGCCCCCUGUCUCAGUCCUUAGUUUUUUUGCUGUAAUCAUUCAUGUUUGUUUGUUUGUUUAUUAGGAUCCCCAUUAGCUAAAGUCGUAACAACAGCUAGUCUUCCUUGGGUCCAACACAGAAAUCACAUGUUUAACAUGUGCCGGAGGACAUGGGUCUGUCUGAAUUCUGAUGUAUCUGUUUGGAUCUAAAGGAAUGCUUCUGCUGGUUACUGUGGUGUCCUGUUGAAUCUUAAGAUAACCUGAGUCCUUGGACUGUGUCUUAGGAUUACCUGGCCUGACGAAUCCUAGCUGUCCCUGCUCAAAGUCCCCCUGUUGCAGAUCUAGCCAGUAAUGGCAGGCCACCUGGUCACCUGUCUCUGUCCACCUGGUUGUGUUGCAGAUCUAGCCAAUGAAGACAGGUUACCUGGUCACCCC